rnacentral:rRNA from 1 species
GACGAACGCUGGCGGCGUGCUUAACACAUGCAAGUCGUACGGUAAGGCCCUUUCGGGGGUACACGAGUGGCGAACGGGUGAGUAACACGUGAGUAACCUGCCCACAACUUUGGGAUAACGCUAGGAAACUGGUGCUAAUACUGGAUAUGUGCUCCUGCUGCAUGGUGGGGGUUGGAAAGCUCCGGCGGUUGUGGAUGGACUCGCGGCCUAUCAGCUUGUUGGUGGGGUAGUGGCCUACCAAGGCGGCGACGGGUAGCCGGCCUGAGAGGGUGACCGGCCACAUUGGGACUAAGAUACGGCCCAGACUCCUACGGGAGGCAGCAGUGGGGAAUAUUGCACAAUGGGCGCAAGCCUGAUGCAGCAACGCCGCGUGCGGGAUGACGGCCUUCGGGUUGUAAACCGCUUUCAGCAGGGACGAAGCUUUUUGUGGCGGUACCUGCAGAAGAAGCACCGGCUAACUACGUG